AUUGAACGCUGGCGGCAGGCCUAACACAUGCAAGUCGAACGGUAGCACAGAGAGCUUGCUCUCGGGUGACGAGUGGCGGACGGGUGAGUAACGUCUGGGAAACUGCCCGAUGGAGGGGGAUAACUACUGGAAACGGUAGCUAAUACCGCAUAACGUCGCAAGACCAAAGUGGGGGACCUUCGGGCCUCACACCAUCGGAUGUGCCCAGAUGGGAUUAGCUAGUAGGUGGGGUAAUGGUUCACCUAGGCGACGAUCCCUAGCUGGUCUGAGAGGGUGACCAGACAGAAUGGAACGGAGACACGGUCCAGGCGCCGACGGGAGGCAGCAGUGGGGAAUAUUGCACAAUGGUCGCAAGCCUGAUGCAGCCAUGCCUCGUGUAUGAAGGAGGCCUUCGGGUUGUCAAGUACUUUCAGCGGGGAGGAAGGCGGUGAAGUUAAUAACUUCACGGAUUGACGUUACCCGCAGAAGAAGCACCGGCUACCUCCGUGCCAGCCGCCGCCGUAA
rnacentral:rRNA from 1 species